rnacentral:rRNA from 1 species
GACGAACGCUAGCGGCGUGCUUAACACAUGCAAGUCGAACGGAAAGGCCUGCUUUCCCUUGUGGAUUGCGGGUACUCGAGUGGCGAACGGGUGAGUAACACGUGAGUGAUCUGCCCCCAACUUGGGUAUAAGCCUGGGAAACUGGGUCUAAUUCCCGAUAGGACUGCAGGGUGGUGCCUGUGGUGGAAAACGAUUUUCUAGUGGUUGGGGAUGAGCUCGCGGCCUAUCAGCUUGUUGGUGGGGUAAUGGCCUACCAAGGCGUCGACGGGUAGCCGGCCUGAGAGGGUGGACGGCCACAGUGGGACUGAGAUACGGCCCAGACUCCUACGGGAGGCAGCAGUGGGGAAUAUUGCACAAUGGGCGGAAGCCUGAUGCAGCGACGCCGCGUGGGGGAUGACGGCCUUCGGGUUGUAAACUCCUUUCGACCGCGAGGAAGCCACCUGGUUGGAAGGGUGGUGACGGUAGUGGUAGAAGAAGCACCGGCUAACUACGUG